CAUUAUAUUAUGCUGAUAAAUUUCUAAUUGUACUUUAAGUAAUGUUUAAUUGAAGUUUAUUUAGUUCUGCUGGUCAAAUUAAAAUUCAACAUUGAUUUAACAAGUUAAUGGUAAUUUAGUUUCAAUUUACCCACAAGUAGGCACCAGAAACAGCAAGUAAUGUGAAAUGGUUAAUACAACAUUUGCGUUGCUUACACGAUUAGUCCAAAUUGUGCAGGGUACCAGAAUCCGAAAACCAACAGACCAUAAAGGAUUACAUUCAGGAAAGGAAGAGUAAUUGUAUAAUAGAUGUGGAACGCAAGGAAGCAUGCAGUGGUAAGCGUGUUCUUGCACUCUUCGUUUAAUAACACCAGAUGGGAGAUUGAAUAAACCAUUUUCUACUAGA